AUGGAGCCAGGCGGGGAGAGAGCAUCCGACCAAGGUGUGUGCCUGGAAAGGACGGUAAAAAUGCCCAUGGAUGUGUGGCGUGCUGCCAGCCAGCCUGCUGUUCAUUGCAGGGUGUGUGUGGUAGGGGGGUGUUUAGUGCAGGAUGGUGCUGAGGUAGCUGGGAUGUGUGCUGGUGCUCCAAAAUCAACUCAUUUGGCUUGUGCUUGCUUUGCAAGGUUUUCCAGACUGGUGGAGGCUUGCAGCAAGGAGAGGAUGUGGGUAUCCCCUAGAGGUGCUGAUUCAGCAGAGAAAAAGAAAACACCCCCCAUUUUGCUGAGUCCCAGCAGGGUGAACAGAGGGAAAAGGUGCUCCAGGGCAGGAAGAAACUGUGAAGAAAUAGGUUUGGACAAGAGUUGA
rnacentral:lncRNA from 1 species